rnacentral:tRNA from 1 species
GUAGGGUAGUAUCCUGCAAGUCUUA